rnacentral:rRNA from 1 species
GACGAACGCUGGCGGCGUGCUUAACACAUGCAAGUCGAACGGAAAGGCCCUGCUUUUGUGGGGUGCUCGAGUGGCGAACGGGUGAGUAACACGUGAGUAACCUGCCCUUGACUUUGGGAUAACUUCAGGAAACUGGGGCUAAUACCGGAUAGGAGCUCCUGCUGCAUGGUGGGGGUUGGAAAGCUUCGGCGGUUGGGGAUGGACUCGCGGCUUAUCAGCUUGUUGGUGGGGUAGUGGCUUACCAAGGCUUUGACGGGUAGCCGGCCUGAGAGGGUGACCGGCCACAUUGGGACUGAGGUACGGCCCAGACUGCUACGGGAGGCAGCAGGGGGGAAUAUUGCACAAUGGGCGGAAGCCUGAUGCGGCAACGCCGCGUGCGGGAUGACGGCCUUCGGGUUGUAAACCGCUUUCGCCUGUGACGAAGCGUGAGUGACGGUAAUGGGUAAAGAAGCACCGGCUAACUACGUG